rnacentral:rRNA from 1 species
UGGGGAAUAUUGGACAAUGGGCGGAAGCCUGAUCCAGCCAUGCCGCGUGUGUGAAGAAGGCCUUUUGGUUGUAAAGCACUUUAAGCGAGGAGGAGGCUACUAGUACUAAUACUACUGGAUAGUGGACGUUACUCGCAGAAUAAGCACCGGCUAACUCUGUGCCAGCAGCCGCGGUAAUACAGAGGGUGCGAGCGUUAAUCGGAUUUACUGGGCGUAAAGCGUGCGUAGGCGGCUGAUUAAGUCGGAUGUGAAAUCCCUGAGCUUAACUUAGGAAUUGCAUUGGAUACUGGUCAGCUAGAGUAUGGGAGAGGAUGGUAGAAUUCCAGGUGUAGCGGUGAAAUGCGUAGAGAUCUGGAGGAAUACCGAUGGCGAAGGCAGCCAUCUGGCCUAAUACUGACGCUGAGGUACGAAAGCAUGGGGAGCAAACAGG